CCUGGUAGUCCACGCUGUAAACGAUGUCGACUUGGAGGUUGUGCCCUUGAGGCGUGGCUUCCGGAGCUAACGCGUUAAGUCGACCGCCUGGGGAGUACGGCCGCAAGGUUAAAACUCAAAUGAAUUGACGGGGGCCCGCACAAGCGGUGGAGCAUGUGGUUUAAUUCGAUGCAACGCGAAGAACCUUACCUACUCUUGACAUCCACGGAAUUCGCCAGAGAUGGCUUAGUGCCUUCGGGAACCGUGAGACAGGUGCUGCAUGGCUGUCGUCAGCUCGUGUUGUGAAAUGUUGGGUUAAGUCCCGCAACGAGCGCAACCCUUAUCCUUUGUUGCCAGCACGUAAUGGUGGGAACUCAAAGGAGACUGCCGGUGAUAAACCGGAGGAAGGUGGGGAUGACUCAAAGUCAUCAUGGCCCUUACGAGUAGGGCUACACACGUGCUACAAUGGCAUAUACAAAGAGAAGCGAACUCGCGAGAGCAAGCGGACCUCAUAAAGUAUGUCGUAGUCCGGAUUGGAGUCUGCAACUCGACUCCAUGAAGUCGGAAUCGCUAGUAAUCGUAGAUCAGAAUGCUACGGUGAAUACGUUCCCGGGCCUUGUACACACCGCCCGUCACACCAUGGGAGUGGGUUGCAAAAGAAGUAGGUAGCUUAAC
rnacentral:rRNA from 1 species